UACGUAGGGUGCAAGCGUUAAUCGGAAUUACUGGGCGUAAAGCGUGCGCAGGCGGUUCUAUAAGACAGAUGUGAAAUCCCCGGGCUCAACCUGGGACUGCAUUUGUGACUGUAGAGCUGGAGUACGGCAGAGGGGGAUGGAAUUCCGCGUGUAGCAGUGAAAUGCGUAGAUAUGCGGAGGAACACCGAUGGCGAAGGCAAUCCCCUGGACCUGUACUGACGCUCAUGCACGAAAGCGUGGGGAGCAAACAGG
rnacentral:rRNA from 1 species